UGGGUUGUGGCUCAGUGGUAGAGCGCUCACCUAGCAUGUGUGAGGCCCUGGGUUCGAUCCUCAAUACCACAU
rnacentral:tRNA from 1 species